CUAGCAGAAGCAAAUCUGAUUAGUAGCUUAUAUUGCAACAAGAAAACCAACCGCAACCCAAUAAACUGAAAGACAAGGGUCCCUGGGUGUUUUGAUAUCAUAAUUGAUCCAGAGACAUGAUUUAAUAACCUGUGCAUGUGAGACCAAUACUGAGCCUGAUUUCCUCUUCCAGAUUUCUAUUAUGUGCAGACAGCCUCAGAUGGAUCUGAUCGCAGAGCUGAAGAGGAAGCAGGGGUCUCCUCCGGUGAGGGAGGGGAAAGACGGCGCUAUCGAGGACAUCAUCACAGAUUUAAGGAAUCAGCCAUACAGACGGACAGAYGGUUCCCGUCACAGCGCCAGGGGGAUACCGGGCCAACAGCUUCAAGUAUCUUCAGACAUCUCCCUCUGAACUAUGGAGCUGGAAGUAGAAGGUGUUCAACAAUGAAGGAAACUUUUCGGCCUGUUCUCAUGUCAUGGUGGAAACGAAAAAAGAAAUCCCAGCUGCAGCUCUGGAGAGUUYUCCUGAUCCUCACAGUGAAAGUGGCAGCAGAAAUGUUGCCCAUCUUGCAUAAUCAAAUGCAGAAGCUUGAUGUUGAUGAUACYGGAUGCCAUCAGGACAAUUUCCAGAGUAAGCAGCACAGCCGAGAUCCAGCACAGAAAUGUCUUCUAUGGUUCAGAUAUAUCAGAACCAGAACAGAAACUGAAUCAUAACGGAAGAACUUGAGAGAGUCCACUCAGAAAUGGGUUUUAGUUAUAAUUGUCCCUGCUGUCUCCGUCUGUGGUAGUUUUCAUACAUUACACCAAGGAUUUUAUUAAAUUAUUUUAAUACAGAAUUUAUGCUUCGCUUUGGCGUUUGAACAAAUAAAGUAUUUUAYACUCCUGCCAUUUACGUGACCCUUCUCAUUUUACUUUGGAAAAAAUAUGUUCAACUUGGACCAGAAGCGGAAGACAUUGUCACAAUUCUCUAAGACACUUGACGUUCACGUUUAAACAUGUUGCCUAUAAUUCCUGAAAAGCUGUGCAUCAGAGGUUCCGCCGUCCUUGAUGUCUGCUCCGUAUUCCAGGGAAUCUGCUGCAGGAAAACAUAUUUUACUGCACAGAGAGAGAAUAAACCUUCAGAUGAUUUCCUCCCGAGAGCUGCUCUCAUGUGGCCAAUUACUCCAGUUUAUCCAACACAGUAACACGGAGGUCUCAACACUUUGCACUGCAGACAUUUUACAGCCCAACAGAAAACUAUCCAGCUCCUUGCACUCGCUUCUUCUUUUCAAGUUUAAAUUAUUUCACAGAUUGUGGAAAUAUGCACCUUGAUWAAAUUUAAAUGUUUUAAAUGUUGCAAAAGCUCACUUUUAUUUUAUUUUUUUUAAAGUGUGGAUAAAUCUUCAACUGCAAUCAUAGUUAAAUGAAAGAACACAGCAGCAGUUGGUUUAAUUUCUGGACAGAACAAUAAUCUUCCACCACCUGACAGUAAAAGGCUGAAAAACUGCCCAGUUAGAGCAAACUGCAUCACUGGCAGUGAAAUGUUGCGCUGCUCAACUCCAUUACAGAUGGAAAAAUCUGGGGUGACCGACAUUGAGAGAGGAAGCAGCUUGACCAGGAGGAUGCUUCAAAUUUGUCUCCUUGUCCCCAAACAGGACGCACUUCAAGAUUUAUCAGACGUUUGAUGAUUGCGGGCCGUUAAUGUUUAAAUGUCCCCUCAGGAUCCUGAUCUUCAUCUCGCUACUCUUCUCUUUGGUCUUCUGGAGUCAUUAAACUUUCAUCUAAUCCUCACAAACGUCGUCUGAGCUCGUCGAGCUGCAGAUCUAACUGAGCACAUAUUUGAUUAGUUUCCAGGCGUUAAGAUUGUGACAUUUAUUUAUCGGGGCGGGGGGAGGAAACUCCAGAGUCAACAUGAUUAAAGCUGCUGCGGCCGCUGUUAAAUGAUCAAACACUCAUAUUUUAUUAAAGGCAGAACAAGUCCUACGUCUCCAUCAGAAGGYCCGUCGGCAGCAGACCAUAAACACUCGAGUUGCAUUUAUGCUGAAACCGAGCUUUGCACAAGAGAGGGGAAGAAGAAAAKUCUGAAUCAGAAAGCGACUUGCAUCAAGGUGAGAUUUUGUAGGAAAAUKAUAUUUUUAAUUCAUGUCUAUUUUAAACCUCCUUACCUCCAAAUGAAGACAGGCAAUCCUUCAAAUGAACGGAGAACAUAACCUCCAUCAGUGGCUGAGCUCCGGCGAURACUGCUCCAUGUUUCUGUUCACAGCAAUAAAUCAGAUGUAGACUUUGGAGGAAUAGGUUCAACUUUCACCCAAAACAAAUCCACAACUUUUUUUUCAACUCGCAUCCUUUUUGUCUCCUUUGAGUUUGGUGGAUUCAAUAAAAAUUCACUCUCCGUAAAGGUCGUCAGCAGAGACGGCCUUCAUUUCUCCAAGUACUGAUCCUUUUUACUCACGGUUUCCAUGCAGAAUCUCAUUCUUGUCCAUGUGGAUGUCCAUUCAGACCUUACCUGAUGUUUCAUUAGCUUGAGGCAACAAAUUGAGUCUUGGACAGUUGCUUGUGUAUCAGAGGGUCACCUUUAUUGUCACAAAAACACAACAGGAACGUACAAAAAGCAGCAACCCGUUUGUUGGAUUUUCUCACAUGAAGCAGCAAUGUUUUUUUUUCUGUUUUUUUUCCAUUCACAGAUUUGUGCUUUGUUCUGAACGGAUUAGUUAGUUGGUUUGUACUUACAGUAUACUGACUUUGUAGUAGUUUAUCAUUCUUCUUCACAGUUCACAAACACUUACCCCACACAGCAAGCAUCACUUUCAAACUGAAGGAACAGCAUUUAGUUGAUAAAUAUCUUUUAGAUAUCUUUCUUCAUAAGUGUGAUAAUUGAUUUUUUAUUUUUCUUAUUUAUUCUGACAGUUAUUCUGAYGGGCUUUUAACAGAAUACAAAAAUCUAUAUGUCGCUGUACAGUUUUCUUUACUCUAUGGUACACUCACAGGUAUACACAGAAUUAAAAUGAGACGUCAGUUCAGCCGGCGUGCAGAUUUUCCAGGAAUGUUUACAGUAUGCAUGCCAUUUUGGAGUAUUUCCCCCCCCUCUAUAUUUAUAUAUAUAAAAAUCACAUAAAAUCAAUUUGUAAUAUAUUAUUUGGGUUUAUAUACAUGAUCUGAACAUCCACAAAUGGUUGAACAAUCACACUUUCACCAAGAAACCAUCGAUAAACAGUUGAAUCUGUAUAAUCCGACACACUGUUGGUUAGAAUAGAAUAAAACGGCUACAAACGGGAUGUCUCAUCAGUGACGGGAUUGUUUUAUGUGCUUUUUUUUAAAUAAAUGUGGUGGCACUAUUUUACAAUUCGCAUUAGGAGUGUUUUCUGGUCUCUACGGCAACAUGUGAUUAUGGUUUCAUGGUUCGCAGAAAAAAUAAAAUCUUUUAACGCAGAAAAAUAAAGAAUUUACAGAAUAAAUGUGUUCCAUGCUUAUGAAUCCUCUUCAAGUAUAAAAAUACAAAAAAAGUUUGAUUAUAUAAAACAUAGAUGACAUUUUUUUCUUUUCUUUUUUUACAUGUUCUCUCUAAAACAAAAACUAAAUGGUUUUAUACUAAUAUACACACACAUCUGAAGUGUUUCUGGUCAGAUUUAAGCUUUUCUAAAUCUGGAUUAGCUAAUCCGCUCCUACAUUUCAUAAACAAGUUGGCUAUAAACACUUAAUGUAGUUUCCCUCGCGUAUAAGCACCGAUCCUUUCAGAAACACUGGUUUGGUUUCAUUUUAAUCCAACAGCCUUUUAGCUCAACAUGCCAUGUUUCAGUUUCAGUCCAAAUUACAAGAAAACAAACUGAAGGCUAACAUGUCAACAUGCCUGUGUCCCAGUUUCACCCUUAAUAUCAUGUAUUACCAUGAAUGUCCAAUUAAAUAACUUUUGAGUGAUGCUCUCUGGUGACAUGGGAGUGAACAGCUGCUGUAAACUGAAGACUUUUAGACAAACAGUUUCAUUUGGAAAUGUUAAAUGUUUGCUCUACUGGGCAUGAUCUAGUUUUCUGCUUUGUACAUCACGUAGGCAGGAUGUUUCAGCUGUUCUUAUUUCAGGGAAGCGCUAAUUGUAAAUAAAAUCGCAAAGUGAAGGCACAUGUCUUAAUCGUUCAAACUAAGGUGUCUGUGGAGCUGCAGAAAUAUGGCUGAAUAAACAUACAGGCCCCUUCAAACUUUGCAACUGGAGAGUUUUAUAGCAAAGAUGCUUAAAUUUAUUUCAGUAAAUGGAGAGGACUCGUUCAUCUUCUGGAGGGGCUGUGCUUUGAAGUGCUUUUUGACCUAAUAUUUUUUUUUCCAACUUUGUUUUUAACACUUUAAUUCUAGAAAUCUUUGUUUUAUUUUUAUUUUUUUAAAUCAGACGGAUAAAGUCUAAUUACAAAGAAGCUUAAUUAUAUCACUUUUUAAAGAGAAAAACGCUGUCUACACCAACCUAUGUGAAAUUAUAAUUCCUUAUUUUGCUGAACUGUAAAUUUACUGGGAUUGCUCACAUUUUUCCAUUCAAUUUCACCAGCCACGCCCAGGCCUGAUCACUACCAGACCAGGACAGAAAUGCUUAGAACCCAUCUGACAGCAAGUAGGCUUAAAAGAUCUUAAAAAGAAAACGGCCUUGAAAAGAUGAGCAACAAAAUCUGACAUCUAUCAGUUUGGACAAGGCUGCAUAUUUCCAUUUCUAAAGCUGUUUUUGGACUGGAGCCAUCAUCUACAAGUGGAGAAAGAAUAGCAAUGGGGAGAACUUUCCCCAAGAGUGGUCGGUGAGCAUCGACUCAACAAGGACAUCACAAAACAACCCAGAACAACAUCUGAAGCUCUUACUUGCCUCAGGUAAGGUCAGUGUUCAUGACUGAACAAUAAGAAAAAAUAUGGCAUGCAUGGGAAAUUUCAAAGGAAACCAUCUACCCUAGCCAAUAAAUACCACAAAUGGUCCAUCUCACAUCAAAUCUUUGAUUUAAGGCAAAAUUUAAAUCCAAUAAAAAUGCUUUCUCAAAAACUUAAAUGCACUAUCAAAGCUUGCAAACCCUUCAAUGUAGUGAAAUUAAAUCAAUUGUGCAAAAAAAAGUGCACCACAAUAAUUCUCACUGGUGGAUAUCAUUGUUGUCACCAAGUGUGACUGGAUCACCCAUCAGGUUUAGGUGGCAAAUAUCCUAUUGCCUUGGGCCAGGUUGGUUUGAACCUUAUCAAUGAAAAAUUGCCAGUGAACAGUUUAUUAAAUAAAUAAAUUUUAAAAAACCUGGUCGUCUGUCAUAUUAAAUUUUGUUUCAUCAUCUGAAACAUUUGUGUGUGACAAAAAGCGAAGAAACAGUCAAAGAUGCAAAUACUUUUCAACAGCAUUAAACUGAAUUGAAUAAAUUAUAAUCAGGGGAUGAUUGAAGUGGCCUAAGCGGUUAAGUAGAAGUAGUGUAGAUCUACAGAAAUAUCUGUGAGGUUUUAAUUUGGCCAUAAUAAAAUGCAUUUUACCUGACCAAAAUAUGCUCAAGAGGACCAAACCUAAAUAAGACGACUGAAUUCAGGUAGCAGAGAAAGUGAUCAGGCCCAACAUGAACUAGCUCUGAAUUCAGUUGGGUUUCUGAAUGGUUAUCCAGUUUUACUCUGAACUAAACUUGGACAUAGAUGUUCUGAGACGUAGUAUUUACUCAUUAAUGUCACCCGUCUAUUCAUUGAUAUUAAAACAUCCGCUUAUGUGUAGCUGCCAGAAAAUGAAAUUCAAGCAAGUUCAACCCAUUGUGGUUGUUAUUCAACACUGCUGGACUGGACCGUUUUAAAGCAGCUUUAUGAAUUGUCAGAGAUGAAGCAAUAGACACAUUUAAAUACUUUUAUGUUUGACGAGUCCAGUUAAUACUUUCAGAUCUUAAUAAUGCAAGAUUUGGCAAAAUGCAAGUAAAUUUCAGCAAAUUAGAAGAUCAAGAAAAAUUUACUUUUUAGUCAUUUAAUUCAAAACAAUCUCAAACAACAGAAAUUUGUUAAUCAGUUUUCUGUUUCAAGUUCAUUUCUAUUGAUUUCUUGAAGUGAACGACUGAAAUGUGAGUACUUUUCAAUGAUAUUCGUAUUUACUGAAAUUCACCUGUAAUAUGAAGUGAAACACUAAUUCAGCACCCUUUGUUUACAUCUCAUACAGCUUUUACUUGUGCGUUUGUACAAAAAAAAAAAAAAAAUUAUUACAUAUACGGAGAUUCCGCCAAUCCUCAAUUAAGAGUAAAACUGGGACAUAGAUCUGGUGUUAGGUUGUUAGUUAUGAUGGUAGAUGGAUUUACACAUUAGAUGUGUUAAACUGCUUCAUGUUGCAGGCCCAGAACUGCUGCAGUCACUUUCCAAAUUUUACACAUGAAUCGGCAUAGUCACAUUAAUUUCUCAGCAGACAACAGGAGCUCCUGUUUGCCUCCAAACUGUGACAUAUUAACCAACAGUCACCUUCGAGGUGUGAAUUAGGAUUUAGAGGUCCAAAAGUGGAAUGAUCCGAGUACUCAGUCCUCACGUAAUUAGUCCAGAUGAGACCUGAGAGACCUGAGAAGCAGACAGGAUGACAAAAGGCAAAGCAAGUGACGAAGAGGAGAAGAGAAAAAAAAAAAA